rnacentral:rRNA from 1 species
GUUAGGAAUAUUCGUCAAUGGGGGAAACCCUGAACGAGCAAUGCCGCGUGAAGGAUGACGGUCCUAUGGAUUGUAAACUUCUGUUGUUAGGGAAGAACGACCUAAGUAGGAAAUGACUUAGGAGUGACGGUACCUUUCAAGAAAGCUCCGGCUAACUACGUGCCAGCAGCCGCGGUAAUACGUAGGGAGCGAGCGUUAUCCGGAUUUAUUGGGUGUAAAGGGUACGUAGGCGGCCUCAUAAGUCUGUGGUUUAAGUCCGAAGCUCAACUUCGGUUCGCCACAGAAACUGUUUGGCUUGAGUAUGGUAGAGGCAAGUGGAAUUUCUAGUGUAGCGGUUAAAUGCGUAGAUAUUAGAAGGAACACCAGUGGCGAAGGCGACUUGCUGGGCCAUUACUGACGCUGAGGUACGAAAGCGUGGGGAGCAAAUAGGAUUAGAAACCCUAGUAGUCCC